rnacentral:lncRNA from 1 species
CUGCCCGUGUCCCUGCCCUGCGCCUGUGCCGUGCGCGCCCACCCAGGCCUCUCACUCUCGCAACUGACCCGACUCCACGCUGCCAGCCUGACCACAACGGGAGAAGGCGGGUGUUGUCUGAAAUCGCUCCUCUUCAAACGUACUCCGUUCUGUCGAAAGAGAGAGCGUCCCAGGCCAGCGCAGGCGGGCGGGGUUUGUUACCCACAGCAGGACGGAGAAGGUCAGCUGGUGACAGGGAGGCUGCUGCUGGCCCCGGUGAGCCUCCCCAGGCCCCUGAGAGGAAGCUCGAGAAACGGGGUGCUGAGAACUGUCAGAAAGGUCUCCUGCUCACCGCGAUCACCCCCCAAGAGCAGGGCUGCCGCACCGCGUCGUAACUGUGCACAGAGCUGCAAGGCAGUGCUGAGGCCCCGCAGCAGGAGCCGUGGGACCAUCGGCAGUCACCGGAGCUGAGCCGGCGCCCUGGUCUGCAGAGAGCCUGCGGGGUGGCUUCAUGCGCCAUGUGUGUGCAAGUGCCC